ensembl:snRNA U1 U1 spliceosomal RNA
GCACCCACAUGGUGGCUAACACCCAUCGGUAACUCCAGUUCUAGGGGAUCCAACCCAUUGCACUUGGGAUGUGCUGACCCCUGUGAUUUCCCCAAAUGUCGGAAACUUGGCUUCACAAUUUGUGGUAGUGGAGGAGUGUGUUUGUGCUCUCCCCUG